rnacentral:rRNA from 1 species
ACACCGGGAUGCUCAGUACGGCGAGUGAAGCGGCAAGAGCUCAAAUUUGAAAGCUGGCCCCUUCGGGGUCCGCGUUGUAAUUUGCAGAGGAUGCUUCGGGUGCAGCCCCCGUCUAAGUGCCCUGGAACGGGCCGUCAUAGAGGGUGAGAAUCCCGUCUGGGACGGGGUGUCUGCGUCCGUGUGAAGCUCCUUCGACGAGUCGAGUUGUUUGGGAAUGCAGCUCUAAAUGGGUGGUAAAUUUCAUCUAAAGCUAAAUACUGGCCGGAGACCGAUAGCGCACAAGUAGAGUGAUCGAAAGAUGAAAAGCACUUUGAAAAGAGAGUUAAACAGCACGUGAAAUUGUUGAAAGGGAAGCGUUUGCGACCAGACUCGCCCGCGGGGUUCAGCCGGCAUUCGUGCCGGUGUACUUCCCCGUGGGCGGGCCAGCGUCGGUUUGGGCGGCCGGUCAAAGGCCCUCGGAAUGUAUCACCUCUCGGGGUGUCUUAUAGCCGAGGGUGCAAUGCGGCCUGCCUGGACCGAGGAACGCGCUUCGGCUCGGACGCUGGCGUAAUGGUCGUAAAUGACCCGUCUUGAAAAACGGGACCAAAA